rnacentral:rRNA from 1 species
GAUGAACGCUGGCGGCGUGCCUAAUACAUGCAAGUCGAGCUAACAGAUGAGAAGCUUGCUUCUCUGAUGUUAGCGGCGGACGGGUGAGUAACACGUGGGUAACAUACCUAUAAGACUGGGAUAACUCCGGGAAACCGGGGCUAAUACCGGAUAAUAUUUUGAACCGCAUGGUUCGAUAGUGAAAGACGGUUUCGGCUGUCACUUAUAGAUGGACCCGCGCGGUAUUAGCUAGUUGGUAAGGUAACGGCUUACCAAGGCGACGAUACGUAGCCGACCUGAGAAGGUGAGCGCCCACACUGGAACUGAGACACGGUCCAGACUCCUACGGGAGGCAGCAGUAGGGAAUCUUCCGCGAUGGGCGAAAGCCUGACGGAGCAACGCCGCGUUAGUGAUGAAGGUCUUCGGAUCGUAAAACUCUGUUGUUAGGGAAGAACAAAUUUGUUAGUAACUGAACAAGUCUUGACGGUACCUAACCAGAAAGCCACGGCUAACUACGUGCCAGCAGCCGCGGUAA